rnacentral:rRNA from 1 species
UACGUAGGCAGCAAGCGUUGUUCGGAGUUACUGGGCGUAAAGCGCGCGUAGGCGGCUACUUAAGUCGGAUGUGAAAGCCCCUGGCUCAACUGGGGAAGUGCACCCGAAACUGAGUGGCUUGAGUGCGAAAGAGGGUCGCGGAAUUCCCGGUGUAGAGGUGAAAUUCGUAGAUAUCGGGAGGAACACCGGUGCGAAGGCGGCGACCUGGGUCGACACUGACGCUGAGGCGCGAAAGCGUGGGGAGCAAACAGG